rnacentral:rRNA from 1 species
GAUGAACGCUGGCGGCGUGCCUAAUACAUGCAAGUCGAGCGAACAGACGAGGAGCUUGCUCCUCUGACGUUAGCGGCGGACGGGUGAGUAACACGUGGAUAACCUACCUAUAAGACUGGGAUAACUUCGGGAAACCGGAGCUAAUACCGGAUAACAUGUUGAACCGCAUGGUUCAACAGUGAAAGACGGUCUUGCUGUCACUUAUAGAUGGAUCCGCGCCGCAUUAGCUAGUUGGUAAGGUAACGGCUUACCAAGGCAACGAUGCGUAGCCGACCUGAGAGGGUGAUCGGCCACACUGGAACUGAGACCCGGUCCAGACUCCUACGGGAGGCAGCAGUAGGGAAUCUUCCGCAAUGGGCGAAAGCCUGACGGAGCAACGCCGCGUGAGUGAAGAAGGUCUUCGGAUCGUAAAACUCUGUUAUUAGGGAAGAACAAAUGUGUAAGUAACUAUGCACGUCUUGACGGUACCUAAUCAGAAAGCCACGGCUAACUACGUG